rnacentral:rRNA from 1 species
UACAGAGGGUGCGAGCGUUAAUCGGAAUUACUGGGCGUAAAGCGCACGUAGGUGGCGCCGUAAGUCGGGUGUGAAAGCCCCGGGCUCAACCUGGGAAUUGCAUUAGAGACUGCAUUGCUGGAGUACGGAAGGGGAGGGCGGAAUUCCCGGUGUAGCGGUGAAAUGCGUAGAUAUCGGGAGGAACAUCAGUGGCGAAGGCGGCCCUCUGGUGCAGUACUGACACUCAAGUGCGAGAGCGUGGGGAUCAAACAGG